AUAAAGAUGGCAGACGAAGUGCAUUAGGUU
rnacentral:tRNA from 2 species